rnacentral:rRNA from 1 species
UGAGGAAUAUUGGUCAAUGGGCGCGAGCCUGAACCAGCCAAGUAGCGUGAAGGAUGAAGGUCCUAUGGAUUGUAAACUUCUUUUAUAGCAGAAUAAAGUGACCCACGUGUGGGUUUUUGUAUGUAUGCUAUGGAUAAGGAUCGGCUAACUCCGUGCCAGCAGCCGCGGUAAUACGGAGGAUCCGAGCGUUAUCCGGAUUUAUUGGGUUUAAAGGGUGCGUAGGCGGAAAGAUAAGUCAGCCUGUGAAAGUUUGCGGCUCAACCGUAAAAUUGCAGUUGAUACUGUUUUUCUUGAGUGUACAUAAGGUAGGCGGAAUUCGUGGUGUAGCGGUGAAAUGCUUAGAUAUCACGAAGAACUCCGAUUGCGAAGGCAGCUUACCGGGGUACAACUGACGCUGAUGCACGAAAGUGUGGGUAUCAAACA